rnacentral:rRNA from 1 species
UACGUAGGGGGCGAGCGUUGUCCGGAAUUAUUGGGCGUAAAGAGCGUGUAGGCGGUUCGGUAAGUCUGCCGUGAAAACCUGGGGCUCAACCCCGGGCGUGCGGUGGAUACUGCCGGGCUAGAGGGUGGUAGAGGCGAGUGGAAUUCCCGGUGUAGCGGUGAAAUGCGCAGAUAUCAGGAAGAACACCAAUGGCGAAGGCAGCUCUCUGGGACGGUACUGACGCUGAGACGCGAAAGCGUGGGGAGCGAACAGG